AAAAUAGCGCUUACUGAAUAUUAGGGUAACAUUUUCCUCCAUGUUAGCAAAUCGAAAAAAAGCAGAGCCCCGGCAGACUGGAGGGGGUCCACCUCUGCAGCCCUCACAUAGGCUGAGGAGAUGGCCCUCAGCCAACAGAGUAUGGGUCCUGUGGCUGAGGGCAUCCCUGGGGGGAGCUCCUCUGAUCCCCCCCACCCCCCCGGAUAGAAGUGCCUUUAUAAGAGGUUGGUUAUUCAAAAUAAUUAAAUAUGUACACGCAACCCAGCGCGUUGCAAAUUAGAUGGGGCAAUAUUCUGGCUCAAGUAAUAAUUUCACUGUCUAAUCAUCUUCUUCCAGUUACUGAUGGCGUCAUCGCCCCACUUGAACCAGAUGCCCUCACCAACCUCCAUGCAAUUGUAACAAUUCUUCACCUUCCACAGAUUAUUAAUAAUGUCUUGGUAAUUGCUGAACACAACCGUUAAUGUCAUUACAGGAAGAUGAUGGAGAAACAUUGUCUGCGGCAUUCGAAAGGGAAGAGAAAAGGCCUAUUGAGGAUGAAAUCGAAUCCAAUGAGAGGCCAUCCACUUCUAAAUCACAGCUUACCUCUGUAAGAUUCUCCCUGGAAUUAUAAUGAAACGCUCUACUUGGCACUGUGAAAUCCAAUCUCAUCUUUUGCAUUCCUAUAGCUUCCAGUCAAAGACUUAUAUAAAAUCUAUCUAGAAAAGCAAAUACACAAAGCAGACUUGGAAAUGGACCACCUUAGGCAAAAGAUGCAAAAGGAUGCUUUGGAGAUCCACAUUUUGGAACAUAAGUUAAAGGUGGGUGAGGUGCAAACUGGGAUACUGUUCCCUGCUCUAAAAACAUACCCAAUAUGAAUGACUUUUUUUGUGCUUUCAGGAAAUAAAGAAAUCCUCAUAAAAAGUAGAUUGUCUUUAUUAGAACAUGGGCUGUGGUGGGACAAGUUAUUUUGUUGAACAGUUUACUCAAAGGGUUUUACUCCAGUGAACAAUGCAGACGAUUAUGCUGAGCAUGUGCAUGUAGAGAAGAAGCAUCUGGUUAAAAGCAGUACCAGGGUAUUUUCUGCCCUGCAUUCUUAAAAUGCGUUUCUUGACUUGCAGCAGUUAUAGGUCCGUGGUUAGUCAGCUACUCUGAUCAUUGGAAAGCCACAACGUUAAAGUGACUGUAGUACAGAGCGGGUGGGAUGCACGGGGCGGAUCAUUCUGCAAAUGCGUUAAUUGCGUUAAAAAAAAAAACUUAAACUUAAAGCAUGCCCCCGCUGCGUUUGAGAGUUAACAUGGGGGCUGAGAAGGUGGUCUAAAUAAA